AUUGAACGCUGGCGGCAGGCCUAACACAUGCAAGUCGAGCGGAUGAAGGGAGCUUGCUCCUGGAUUCAGCGGCGGACGGGUGAGUAAUGCCUAGGAAUCUGCCUGGUAGUGGGGGAUAACGUCCGGAAACGGGCGCUAAUACCGCAUACGUCCUGAGGGAGAAAGUGGGGGAUCUUCGGACCUCACGCUAUCAGAUGAGCCUAGGUCGCAUUAGCUAGUUGGUGGGGUAAAGGCCUACCAAGGCGACGAUCCGUAACUGGUCUGAGAGGAUGAUCAGUCACACUGGAACUGAGACACGGUCCAGACUCCUACGGGAGGCAGCAGUGGGGAAUAUUGGACAAUGGGCGAAAGCCUGAUCCAGCCAUGCCGCGUGUGUGAAGAAGGUCUUCGGAUUGUAAAGCACUUUUAGUUGGGAGGAAGGGCAGUAAGUUAAUACCUUGCUGUUUUGACGUUACCAACAGAAUAAGCACCGGCUAACUUCGUG
rnacentral:rRNA from 1 species